rnacentral:rRNA from 1 species
GACGUAGGGGGCGAGCGUUGUCCGGAUUCAUUGGGCGUAAAGCGCGCGUAGGCGGCCCGGUAAGUCGGAUGUGAAAUCUCACGGCUCAACCGUGGAACUGCAUUCGAAACUGUCGGGCUAGAGGCAGGUAGGGGAGAUCGGAAUUCCCGGUGUAGCGGUGAAAUGCGCAGAUAUCGGGAGGAACACCGAUGGCGAAGGCAGCCCCCUGGGCUAGCACUGACGCUCAGGCACGAAAGCGUGGGGAGCAAACAGG